GGCUAGUCUGAAGGUAUUUACCUCAAUUCAUUGUUCACAAUUACAGAUCAGUCUCCUUGUUCUGUUCUUCUUCUCCUUCUCACUACUGUACUUGACUAGUCUUUA
rnacentral:Y_RNA from 1 species